AGCAACAAGUGCUAGGUCGGGGCACUCGGGGAGCUCGCAGCAGCGGCUGGCUGGGUUGCGGUGGCUCCUGGCCACCCGCCCUCCGCUCUGGCACACAUGUAACACGAAACUUCGCAUCUCCAGGACAACCAAUAACAAAAAAAGGCAGAGACAACAGCUGGCUGUCAGCAGCAGAGCCGAGAGGAGCCGAGCGAGGAGCCAGACGCAAGCCAGGAUGAGGGGAGAGAUGACGUGAAAACUUGAAGAAGACAAAACGAAGAACAGGAGGAGAAGAAGAGUUGGCGGCGCGGCUGGGCUUAAAGCCUGGAAAGGUUGAGCCAGAAUGUCUUCUGAAGGCUUUCUGAAGGAAUUGCAAACCAUUGGUGAAAAGCUUCUCCUUAAGCUCCAGAGACUGCCGAAGGCUGACCCGGUGGAGAUUGUGUCCUUUUGUGUGGUUCUUCUGUUUAUUGUUACUGUUCUGCUGCUCAUGGUCAUUGCCUGCAGCUGCUGCUGCUACAGCUGCUGUGGCUGCAAUGGACGUGCUGACCACAGGCGUAGGAAGAUCCAAGUCCGCCCAGCUGCCCAUCCAUGAAGAAGUGACACAACCUACUACCAGGGACAUAUCAAGGACAUGUGUGGACACCAUGACUCAGUCCUGUCAGAAUGACCUUCUACACUAGCUCACUGGAAAUGGCAAUAACAGUGUUAAUUAGUAUGACUCAGAGGACCAGAAAUCACAGCAUGGAAUCCCUCCUUUCUGUGACAGCCGCUGCUGGGCUCUGUGGGGUGCCCAGAGAGCAGGGUGGAAGCCAGCAUGUCAUCAGUACAAGAGGCAUCCUCGGCUCUCGAAGACCUAAAGAGACUGAUCACAAGAAGUGACUGGGCUCUUGGAGGGCUACUGGUGAUUAGCAUCUUCUGUCUUGUUUUCAUUGCUCUCAUCUUAUUUGCUGCCAUCUUUGGGUGCUGCUCAUCUCCAAGGCACAGACAGUAGUGGUGCAUAAACAGUGGGGCUGAGAUGCAGUACUUGGAGCCCUGCAGCUAAGCAAGAAUCAGUCCAGGCACAACCUGA